GACAACGUGGCCUGAGCGGUUAAGGCGACAGACUAGAAAUCUGUUACGGUUUCCGUGCGCAGGUUCGAGUCCUGCCGUUGUCG